rnacentral:misc_RNA from 1 species
UCUCUUUACCCUAUCAAACCGUCAUUUGUUUUUUCCACUAACGUGGUGAAGCACAUGCACGGACCUAUAUUCCACCUUAUGAAUUUAGGUUCUUGUCUCGCAAGGAUGAAAUCUCAAGAGAAAAAUAAAGAACUUUAUAUCCUCCAAAGGGAUAAUACACUAUCAGCAGAUGGGUCUCUAUUUGUAUGCUUGUCUCAUAACAAACAAAAAAUAUCGGUGGCAACUGCAAUAGUUUCAAAAGGUAUUAUAACUUUCAUUGUACUGUAUGGAUCAAUUUAUAUUUUUUAUUGUAAGCAAUUUUGAUUUUAUCUUAGAACUGUUUUGUUCCUAUAUUAUAUUUGCACGCAUGGUAGUCUUAUCCUCAUCGAUUUUAUUAAAGAAAUCCACUGUGAAAUAAGGAUAGAAAUCGUGUUUAUUGAUGAUGCCUUUGUAGAAAGGAAGUGAAUGGAAUGCCUAUUUCAUCUCACACAUAUUUACGUGAUUAGAUGAUCCAUGCUUAGUUUUUCAAUUUGGUGAUCCUGGUAUGUAUAAAUUUUUACUCAACCUGGUAUUUUUUAUCAUAACUUACACACUUGUAGGUGAUAGACUCUUACAUAAAUUUAAUAAAAGCUCAAGAGCAUCUAAUGUGUCGAUCUGGAGGUCGUGU